rnacentral:rRNA from 1 species
UACGUAGGGAGCAAGCGUUGUCCGGAUUUAUUGGGCGUAAAGAGCGUGUAGGCGGCCAGACAGGUCCGUUGUGAAAACUGGAGGCUCAACCUCCAGACGUCGAUGGAAACCGUCUGGCUAGAGUCCGGAAGAGGAGAGUGGAAUUCCUGGCGUAGCGGUGAAAUGCGCAGAUAUCAGGAAGAACACCCGUGGCGAAAGCGGCUCUCUGGGACGGUACUGACGCUGAGACGCGAAAGCGUGGGGAGCGAACAGG